rnacentral:rRNA from 1 species
ACAACGCUGGCGGCGUGCCUAACACAUGCAAGUCGAACGAGAAAGUGGAGCAAUCCAUGAGUAAAGUGGCGACCGGGUGAGUAACACGUGACUAACCUGCCUUCGAGUGGGGGAUAACCUCGGGAAACCGGGGCUAAUACCGCAUAAUGCCUUCGGGUUAAAGGAGCAAUUCGCUUGAAGAGGGGGUCGCGGCUGAUUAGCUAGUUGGCGGGGUAACGGCCCACCAAGGCGAUGAUCGGUAGCCGGCCUGAGAGGGCGCACGGCCACACUGGAACUGAAACACGGUCCAGACUCCUACGGGAGGCAGCAGUGGGGAAUUUUGCGCAAUGGGGGAAACCCUGACGCAGCAACGCCGCGUGGAGGAUGAAGUCCUUUGGGACGUAAACUCCUUUCGACCGGGACGAUUAUGACGGUACCGGUGGAAGAAGCCCCGGCUAACUUCGUGCCAGCAGCCGCGGUAAUACGAGGGGGGCGAGCGUUGUUCGGAAUUAUUGGGCGUAAAGGGCGCGUAAGCGGUGCGGUAAGUCACCUGUGAAACCUCUGGGCUUAACUCA